UCCUUCACAUUUGAACAGCUCUUCAGGAUUUAUCACAUAUUCAGCCCAGCAAAGGAAGGGAAAUCGGACCCAGGAAGGGCAGCGGGGUUUCUCUCAGGCUUGGCGAGCAGAAAGGAACUGAAGCUUGGCAGGGAUAAGGACAAAUGGGAAGGGUGAGCUGCUUUGUUAUCCCUUCUCAAGGAGGAGGGGGCUGAAGCUCGGAGAGCAGGGAGCGUAAGUAGCCAGCCCUGCAUUAUGCAGCAGGAAGUGGCAGAGCAGGGGCCUGGGUCCUUCUGGUUUCCAGACCGUGCUCUGCAUCCUGCUGUGCUCUCAGGGGCUUAUAGUCUAGCAAGGCAAUCACGCUGAUCUUAGGAGGGCAAGACCUCCUAAGACUAUGCAGUUUCCUUCAUCCCUGGGCUGAGGGGCUGGGAGGUCUGCGGACUGAUCCUCACAGGCUUAGCCUCUAGAAUGGUACUGGGAGGCUGGGUGGAGGGGCAAGCAGCAUUCCAGACCUUCCAGACGGCUUCCUCGCUGAGAUGUGCCCCAGGGAGCUGUUUCUCCAUGGGCCUCAGGCAAAAAAAAAAACCCCAAAUCUAUUUAUUAUCAACGAAAGUAUUUCCCUGUGUUUUUUAAAGUCAAAGUAGGGAAAAAAAAUCAGCACAAUAAAUAUGAAGCUAAAGGAAAAUAAAAAAGGUAAAGCAGAUGUUUAUGGAAGUCAGGGUACAUGUCCUAAGGCAGAAGAAUUUUUCAGAAAAACUGAGAACUUUUUCUUUAAAAACAACUGAGCAAACCAAGCAAACAAAACAGAGUCACUGUCCUUUAUCAUGCAUAAUCUUGAUCUCUGAAGCGGCACAUUUAAGGCUUCUCUGCUCAGGUGCACCCUGAAUAUGGCUGGACAGCACUUCUAGUCACAAAAACAGGAUGUGGACCCAGAGUUGAACAAAACAGACAAGGUUCCUGACUUCGAGGAGCUAAUGGGGAUGAAGACCGUGAACAGCAACUAAACAAGAUGAACACACUGCUCGAGAUUACACAGCGAGGAAGAAGCAGAGCCGAGGAUAAAACCCAUAUCUUCUGGCCACAGUACAAGUUACUCUGCUAUAUCAUUAUGCUUUGAUCCUCUAAUUUUAGGGUCUUAGGGGAGCCCAAAGGGUGAAUUAACACAAGGCAUGGGAGGUAUCUGGGUGUAUGAGUAUCCAAUCCUCAAUGACCUGCCUCCACCUCCAACCUCAUUUCCUGCCAUCUGCUAACAGGAAUCCAAUGCUUUCACCAUGCCGAACUGACAGCUUCCAGACAUGCUCUUCUGUGCCUUCCAAUGUUUCCUUAUGUUGUUCCUCCAGCUGAGAAGGCCUUGCUCUACCUAGCCAUUCUCCAGGGCUCGGUACAAGCUUCUCUUUUGCUGUAGAGACUUCCUUAACCCAUCUGGAUAUGUUUGACCAUGCCCUCUUUCAUUGACAUCUCACUCGGCCCUACAUUUUUAUUAUACUCAUCUCAUGAUGUCAUUCUUAUGGUGGUGGCACCUAUAUCGUCCACUGGGCCAGGCAGUGGUCAAGACUGGAAAUCUCUGUGCUUUUAACCCCCAGCACAGUGCCUGGCACAUAGUAAGUGCUGAGGAAAUCCUUGAUGAAUGAGUAGAUGGUUGAGUUAACGAUGGAGAAGAAAACAUUCCUGAGCAGAGACCACCCCCACCCUUGAUCUUCUGGGAGAACUGCCUUUGUAGAAUAGGGAACAAAAAGGGCAGGCAUCAAAGGGAUACAAUGGGUAAAACAUUCUUUCCUGUUCUCUCUGGUUCCUUCCUUUUCAUUUUUCUUCUUGCUAUUGGAACAAAAAUGAAGAGUACAUCAUAAGCAAAGCUGUAUUUUCAGUUUAUUGCCACCAGGUUAAUAACAGUAAUGGUGCAGGAAGAAAAUGAGGUGUUAUGUAAAAUCCUGCAUUGCAGAUUUUGCUGCUGAUGUAAAGAACUCAAUAAAGUGUAACACUUUAAUCAUAGAGAUAAAAAUCACACAGCAGCUUUCCCACAGGCUCCAGGAGCCCAAGACAAAAUAGUUGUGGGGAAAUGAGAGAUGAGAGAAGAAUAUUAUCAGCCAUCGGAAAAAUUAUGUUUGGGCUUUUGUGUGUGUGUGUUUUUCCUUCAUCUCUAAAAAAUGGAAUAAGAUUUUUCUAUCUUCUUCUAAGACAUCUUGUAUGAAUUUCUGUAUUCUCUGGAGGCCAUACUCAGAUUUCUGGGGGAAGAUUUGCUCAUUCUUUGUAAAAAUUGAUUUGUUUAGGGAGAACUGAA